UACGGAGGGUGCGAGCGUUGUCCGGAAUCACUGGGCGUAAAGGGCGCGUAGGCGGCAGGCCAAGCGUGCGGUGAAAGUCCGGGGCUCAACCCCGGAUCUGCCGUGCGGACUGGUUUGCUAGAGCACUGUAGAGGCGAGUGGAAUUCCGGGUGUAGCGGUGGAAUGCGUAGAGAUCCAGAAGAACACCGGUGGCGAAGGCGGCUCGCUGGGCAGUGGCUGACGCUGAGGCGCGACAGCGUGGGGAGCAAACAGG
rnacentral:rRNA from 1 species